AAUCAUUAGACGAUCUAUAUGAUGACACUAAAAUCAUUAAUUUUUAUUAAUUAUUUGUUAAAUAUAUAUAUAUUUUAAAAAUAUAAAAAAAUAAAUUUAAAAAUAUAAAAUUAAAAAUUAUUAAACUAUCUUAUUUUGUUAAAUUUGCAGAAAUGAGUAAGAAGAAGGAUCCAGAGCGUAGCGUGACAUUGGCUGGGAGCAUGGUGAGAUGCUCUCAGCUCGGUACCAUUGGAGAUGCAAAUGGUGCGGCACAGAGUUCAAGAGAGGAGAGGUGACUAGAUUGAAGAUGCAUUUGGCUGGUGGUUAUCGAGAUGUGGUCAUAUAUCGAAAAUAUCCAUAGGAGGUUCGACAACUUAUGAAGAAGUACUUCGCUG
rnacentral:lncRNA from 1 species